GCUCCAUUCACAACUGCUGGAGUGCCACCAGAUGACAAAAAGUUGAAAGAGGAGGACGAGGGGAUUUUCCUCCAUGUCCAUGUCUUGAAAAUAUAUACGAACUACUGACAACAACUGCCUCGUACUUGGGCGUAAAGAAGUCUGAAUUGUUGUGUCUGGACAAAAAUAAAUAGCACAUAAGUAGCCCGGGUGAAGUGUAUGUUGUACAGCUACUUCUUCUUGUGUUAUCGGGU
rnacentral:lncRNA from 1 species